GUAAAGCGUUCGUAGGUGGUAUGUUUAAGUCUGAUGUUAAAGACUGGGGCUCAACUCCAGCACGCUUCGGAUACUGGCAUACUAGAGUAAUGCAGAGGUUAGUGGAAUUUCAUAUGUAGCGGUGGAAUGCGUAGAUAUAUGGAGGAACACCAAUGGCGAAGGCAACUAAUUGGACAUAUACUGACACUGAGGGACGAAAGCGUGGGGAGCAAACAGGAUUAGAUACCCUGGUAGUCCACGCUGUAAACGAUGCUUGUUGGCUGGUGGGAAGUCACUAGCGAUAGCUAACGCGUUAAACAAGCCGCCUGAGGAGUAUGCUCGCAAGAGUGAAACUUAAAGGAAUUGACGGGGACCCGCACAAGCGGUGGAGCAUGUGGUUUAAUUCGAAGUCACACGUAGAACCUUACCCACUCUUGACAUACUUGGCAAAGCUAUAGAGAUAUAGCCGAGGUCAUCCUAGUACAGGUGGUGCAUGGUCGUCGUCAGCUCGUGUCGUGAGAUGUGGGGUUAAGUCCCUGAACGAGCGCAACCCUUAUUCUUAGUUGCUAACAAGUAAUGUUGAGGACUUUAAGAAGACUGCCAGAGUAAUCUGGAGGAAGGUGGGGACGACGUCAGAUCAUCAUGCCCCUUACGAGUGGGGCAACACACGUGCUACAAUGGGAGUUACAAAGAGAAGCAAAACAGUGAUGUGGAGCAAACCUGAAAAAACUCUCUCAGUUCGGAUUGGAGUCUGCAACUCGACUCCAUGAAGCAGGAAUCGCUAGUAAUCGUAGGUCAGCUAUACUACGGUGAAUACGUUCUCGGGUCUUGUACACACCGCCCGUCACACC
rnacentral:rRNA from 1 species